GACGAACGCUGGCGGCGUGCCUAAUACAUGCAAGUCGAGCGAGCUUGCCUAGAUGAAUUUGGUGCUUGCACCAAAUGAAACUAGAUACAAGCGAGCGGCGGACGGGUGAGUAACACGUGGGUAACCUGCCCAAGAGACUGGGAUAACACCUGGAAACAGAUGCUAAUACCGGAUAACAACACUAGACGCAUGUUUAGAGUUUAAAAGAUGGUUCUGCUAUCACUCUUGGAUGGACCUGCGGUGCAUUAGCUAGUUGGUAAGGUAACGGCUUACCAAGGCAAUGAUGCAUAGCCGAGUUGAGAGACUGAUCGGCCACAUUGGGACUGAGACACGGCCCAAACUCCUACGGGAGGCAGCAGUAGGGAAUCUUCCACAAUGGACGCAAGUCUGAUGGAGCAACGCCGCGUGAGUGAAGAAGGGUUUCGGCUCGUAAAGCUCUGUUGGUAGGAAGAAAGAUAGAGGUAGUAACGGCCUUUAUU
rnacentral:rRNA from 1 species